rnacentral:rRNA from 1 species
GUGAAAGCCCCGUACGUGAAAAGCGAGCAGACUGAGCAGGAUCCAGAGUACCACGAGACACGUGGAACCUUGUGGGAAAUCAGGGGGACCACCCCCUAAGGCUAAAUACUACUUAGUGACCGAUAGCGCAUAGUACUGUGAAGGAAAGGUGAAAAGGACCCCGGGAGGGGAGUGAAAGAGAACCUGAAACCCUGUGUUUACAAGCUGUGGAACAUCUUUAUAUGAUGAACCGCGUACUUUUUGUAGAACGGUCCGGCGAGUUGUGCAUGCUGGCAAGGUUAAAUCCUUUAGGGAUGGAGCCGUAGGGAAACCAAGUCUUAAGAGGGCCAGAGUCAGUAUGUGCAGACCCGAAACCGGGUGAUCUAUCCAUGUCCAGGUUGAAGCUGCCGUAAAAGGCAGUGGAGGACCGAACCCACAUCCGUUGAAAAGGGUGGGGAUGAGGUGUGGAUAGGGGAGAAAUUCCAAUCGAACCCGGAGAUAGCUGGUUCUCCUCGAAAUAGCUUUAGGGCUAGCCUCGGUAGAGAUUCGCGGAGGUAGAGCACUGAAUUUCCUAGGGGGCGUCAAAGCUUACCGAAGAAUAUCAAACUCCGAAUGCCGUAGAAUUGCUUACCGGGAGUCAGACUAUACGAGAUAAGUUGGAUAGUCAAAAGGGAAAGAGCCCAGACCUCCAGCUAAGGUCCCAAAGUGCGUGUUAAGUGGAAAAGGAUGUGGGAUUUCGAAGACAACCAGGAUGUUGGCUCAGAAGCAGCCAUACAUUCAAAGA